UACUGUCGAGUGUUACAACUAUUUCCUUUUCAAGGAGAGCUAUAGAAUUAUUCCAUGCCUUUGUUAGACAAAGCGUUCAUCCCGUGACCGCGGCUACGUCCGGCGACUGACUGUCGCCUCGAGCCCAAGCUCAUUAUCACAACUCUCGAACAAUUACAAUCGGAUUGAAUAACUACAAUUGUUUAAUUACAGCUAUAGUAGACUCUAGGUUACAAUGUUGCGGGAUUAACCAAAAUUCCAAAGACUCCGGUGUUCUUUCAUCUCCGACACAGCCAUCCUGACUAUCACAGGUUCUCGUGUGUAACUAAAAUAUCGUGCUUUCUUACAUUAGAUUCGAUGCAACUGACAUUAUUUACGAUUUAACUAAAUGUCCAAGUAAGUCAGGGGUCCAGUGCAAUAACAAAAUUUCGUUCGGGGGCUUGACAACACAAAACUAAAAGAGAACAAGAAUUUGUAGCGUUAUAGUUUGUAUUCAAAGUGCUAGUUGCGUUCUGUGAGUCGCCAGACCGUAAUGACACGACAGAUCAUGUUCGAUUUCGUACACUGAUGAAUCUCAGUUGGUUGGAUCAUAUUGCUACGUUGGGUUAUCACUGUGGGUAUAUUGCAGAUGCAUGAAACAUCACAGUGGAUAUAUUGCAGACACGCAAAACGUCACUGUGGGUAUAUUACAGAUGUAUGAGAGAUCACAGUGGAUAUAUUGCAGACACGCAAAACGUCACUGUGGGUAUAUUACAGAUACAUGAAACAUCACAGUGGAUAUAUUACAGAUACGCAAACGUCACUGUGGGUAUAUACUACGACCACAAUGUGAUGUUAAUGAUCCUCUGAGGUCAGUGCACUUGCAUCGUUAUAAUCACCAUCGUUGUCAUCACCGCAGACGUCCAUCUCAGCAGGGGCACAACUUUCUAGCAUUUUUCUCAGUCUGUCAUGUCUGUCCUUAUAUGAUUGUUUGCCGUCUAAGGUUUUUUAAAGUAUAUCUAUCUCCUUCCAAAAUCUUUGCUAUCUCGAAUGGACCCCUGAAUUUCGGAUCUAACUUCGUCUGGUUUCUUUCCUCGUUUUUGCAUAAUACAAAAUCACCAAGGUUAAA